UACGUAGGGUGCAAGCGUUGUCCGGAAUUAUUGGGCGUAAAGGGCUCGUAGGCGGUCUGUUGCGUCAGGAGUGGAAACUCGGGGCUUAACCCCGAGCCUGCUUCUGAUACGGGCAGACUAGAGGUAUGCAGGGGAGAACGGAAUUCCUGGUGUAGCGGUGAAAUGCGCAGAUAUCAGGAGGAACACCGGUGGCGAAGGCGGUUCUCUGGGCAUUACCUGACGCUGAGGAGCGAAAGUGUGGGGAGCGAACAGG
rnacentral:rRNA from 1 species